rnacentral:rRNA from 1 species
AUUGAACGCUGGCGGCAGGCCUAACACAUGCAAGUCGAACGGUAACAGGAAGAAGCUUGCUUCUUUGCUGACGCGUGGCGGACGGGUGAGUAAUGUCUGGGAAACUGCCUGAUGGAGGGGGAUAACUACUGGAAACGGUAGCUAAUACCGCAUAACGUCCCAAGACCAAAGAGGAGGACCUUCGGGCCUCUUGCCAUCGGAUAUGCCCAGAUGGGAUUAGCUAGUGGGUGGGGUAACGGCUCACCCAGGCGACGAUCCCUAGCUGGUCUGAGAGGAUGACCAGCCACACUGGAACUGAGACACGGUCCAGACUCCUACGGGAGGCAGCAGUGGGGAAUAUUGCACAAUGGGCGCAAGCCUGAUGCAGCCAUGCCGCGUGGAUGAAGAAGGCCUUCGGGUUGUAAAGUACUUUCAGCGGGGAGGAAGGGAGUAAAGUUAAUACCUUUGCGUAUUGACGUUACCCGAAGAAGAAGCACCGGCUAACUUCGUG